rnacentral:rRNA from 1 species
GACGAACGCUGGCGGCGUGCUUAACACAUGCAAGUCGAACGGAAAGGCCCCUUUGGGGGUCCUCGAGUGGCGCACGGGUGAGUAACACGUGAGUAACCUGCCCUUGACUUCGGGAUAACUUCAGGAAACUGGGGCUAAUACCGGAUAGGAAUCCUUGCUGCAUGGUGGGGGUUGGAAAGCUUCGGCGGUUUUGGAUGGACUCGCGGCUUAUCAGCUUGUUGGUGGGGUAGUGGCUUACCAAGGCUUUGACGGGUAGCCGGCCUGAGAGGGCGACCGGCCACAUUGGGACUGAGAUACGGCCCAGACUCCUACGGGAGGCAGCGGUGGGGAAUAUUGCACAAUGGGCGGAAGCCUGAUGCAGCAACGCCGCGGGCGGGAUGACGGCCUUCGGGUUGUAAACCGCUUUCAGCAGGGGCGAAGCUUGUGGUGACGGUACCUGCAGAAGAAGCACCGGCUAACUACGUG